rnacentral:rRNA from 1 species
UGCAGUCGAGCGAACAGACGAGGAGCUUGCUCCUCUGACGUUAGCGGCGGACGGGUGAGUAACACGUGGAUAACCUACCUAUAAGACUGGGAUAACUUCGGGAAACCGGAGCUAAUACCGGAUAAUAUAUUGAACCGCAUGGUUCAAUAGUGAAAGACGGUUUUGCUGUCACUUAUAGAUGGAUCCGCGCCGCAUUAGCUAGUUGGUAAGGUAACGGCUUACCAAGGCAACGAUGCGUAGCCGACCUGAGAGGGUGAUCGGCCACACUGGAACUGAGACACGGUCCAGACUCCUACGGGAGGCAGCAGUAGGGAAUCUUCCGCAAUGGGCGAAAGCCUGACGGAGCAACGCCGCGUGAGUGAUGAAGGUCUUCGGAUCGUAAAACUCUGUUAUUAGGGAAGAACAAAUGUGUAAGUAACUAUGCACGUCUUGACGGUACCUAAUCAGAAAGCCACGGCUAACUACGUGCCAGCAGCCGCGGUAAUACGUAGGUGGCAAGCGUUAUCCGGAAUUAUUGGGCGUAAAGCGCGCGUAGGCGGUUUUUUAAGUCUGAUGUGAAAGCCCACGGCUCAACCGUGGAGGGUCAUUGGAAACUGGAAAACUUGAGUGCAGAAGAGGAAAGUGGAAUUCCAUGUGUAGCGGUGAAAUGCGCAGAGAUAUGGAGGAACACCAGUGGCGAAGGCGACUUUCUGGUCUGUAACUGACGCUGA